GACGUAGGGUGCAAGCGUUGUCCGGAAUUAUUGGGCGUAAAGAGUUCGUAGGCGGCGAUUUAAGUCUGGUGUUAAAGGCUGAAGCUCAACUUCAGUAUGGCAUUGGAAACUGGAUUGCUAGAGUGCGGUAGAGGUAUCGGGAAUUCCAGGUGUAGCGGUGAAAUGCGUAGAUAUCUGGAGGAACACCAGUGGCGAAAGCGCGAUACUGGGCCGUAACUGACGCUGAGGAACGAAAGCCUGGGUAGCGAAAGGGG
rnacentral:rRNA from 1 species